UACAGAGACUGCGAGCGUUAUUCGGAUUCACUGGGCGUAAAGGGUGCGCAGGCGGCCAAGUGUGUGAGGCGUGAAAGCCCGAAGCUUAACUUCGGAAUUGCACCUCAAACUACAUGGCUAGAGCAUUGGAGAGGGUAGCGGAAUUCACGGUGUAGCAGUGAAAUGCGUAGAUAUCGUGAGGAACACCAGAGGCGAAGGCGGCUACCUGGACAAUUGCUGACGCUCAGGCACGAAAGCGUGGGGAGCAAAAGGG
rnacentral:rRNA from 1 species